AUGUCGUGCGACAAGAGCCGGUCCAAAUUACUGAUGCUGGCCGCCAGAGCAGCCGGGGUGACGUCCAUGGGCAUAACCGGCAACGCCAGGGACCAGCUGGAGGUGGUCGGCGACGGCGUCGACCCGGUGUGCCUCGUCAGCUGCCUCCGCAAGAAGCUCGGCCACGUCCAAAUCAUCAAGGGGGAGGAGGUGAAGAAGCCGGAGGAGAAGAAGAAGGAUGACCCGAUGCCGGCCGUGCCCCUGCCCGUGAACUCGCCGCCGUGCUACUACCCGCCCAGCUACUACCACCACCAGUACCAGGCGCCGCACAUGGUAGUCUGCGAGGAACAACCCGAAAACUGCCGGACCAUGUAG
rnacentral:rRNA from 1 species